GCAUUGGUGGUUCAGUGGCGGAACUCUCACCUUCCAUGCGGGGGACCCAGGUUCGAUUCCCAGCCAGUGUA
rnacentral:tRNA from 1 species